rnacentral:tRNA from 6 species
GGCGGCAUGGCCAAGUGGUAAGGCAAGGGACUGCAAAUCCUUUACCCCCAGUUCAAAUCUGGGUGCCGCCU